UUCAAGCAGCCGCCGUCACUCUCUCUUCCAUCACUAACCCUAACACAGCAAAAUUCCCUAAUCUCAUGGCGUUUUCGCUGCCUCCACCAUCAAUCCUUUGUCUUCCUCGCCUCAUCACCCACCCACAAACAUUAAUCAACCAAUUUUCACCUAUUUUUCAUUUUUUUUAACCCUAUUUUUCACCAUCGAUUCUCUUCACCUCUUUGUCCGUUCACCAUCUCUUCUGUCUUUCACCAUCGAUUCAAGAAAACAAAGAGUUUGAGAAUUUCAAAAAGUUAUGGUGAAAUUUGAUACUUGAGGAACAGAGCUUAUGCUUCAUUGCAAAGCUGAAGACAAAAACAGAGAAGCAACAACAUCUCCAUGCUUCUCAAGUUCUUGUGCUAGUCUCAACUCUCAAAGCUCAUUUCAUUGUGUUUUUACUACUUGGUGUUUACAUGUUAAAUUAAUUUUAGGUUGAUGUUGUGUUGUAAUUAUUUUGACUUAAUCCUUUAAUUUCUGUAAUUUAUUUCU